AUCGCUUCUCGGCCUUUUGGCUAAGAUCAAGCGUAGUAUCUGUUCUUAUCAGUUUAAUAUCUGAUACGUCCUCUAUCCGAGGACAAUAUAUUAAAUGGAUUUUUGCAAGUAGGAGUUGGAAUAGGAGCUUGCUCUGUCCACUCCAAAAAAAUAAAUAAU
rfam:Mesocricetus auratus contig087000, whole genome shotgun sequence.